rnacentral:rRNA from 2 species
AUCAACUUUCGAUGGUAGGAUAGAGGCCUACCAUGGUGGUAACGGGUAACGGGGUGUUAGGGCACGACACCGGAGAGGGAGCCUGAGAAACGGCUACCACAUCCAAGGAUGGCAGCAGGCGCGCAAAUUACCCAAUCCCGACACGGGGAGGUAGUGACAAUAAAUAACAAUACGGGGUUCUUUCGGAUCUCGUAAUUGGAAUGAGUACAAUUUAAAUCUCUUAACGAGGAACAAUUGGAGGGCAAGUCUGGUGCCAGCAGCCGCGGUAAUUCCAGCUCCAAUAGCGUAUAUUAAAGUUGUUGCAGUUAAAAAGCUCGUAGUUGAAUUUCGGGAUCAGAUUGUCGGUCGUGCCUCGGUACGCACUGGCAUUAUUGGUUCCUACCUUCUGAAGAACCGCGAUGUCAUUAAUUUGGUGUCGUGGGGAAUCAGGACUGUUACUUUGAAAAAAUUAGAGUGUUUAAAGCAGGCGCACGCUUGAAUACAUUAGCAUGGAAUAAUGAAAUAGGACGUUUGAUUCUAUUUUGUUGGUUUCUAGGAUCGACGUAAUGAUUAAUAGGGAUAGUUGGGGGCAUUAGUAUUCAAUUGUCAGAGGUGAAAUUCUUGGAUUUAUUGAAGACUAACUACUGCGAAAGCAUUUGCCAAGGAUGUUUUCAUUAAUCAAGAACGAAAGUUAGGGGAUCGAAGACGAUCAGAUACCGUCGUAGUCUUAACCAUAAACUAUGCCGACUAGGGAUCGGAUGAUGUUGAUUUUAUAAUGACUCAUUCGGCGCCUUACGGGAAACCAAAGUGUUUGGGUUC